AUCUUACAUCUUGAAAAAGAAAACAUUGAUGAAAACUUUACUUAAAAUGCAUUGCAUACUUAGUAUAGUAUUAUACUCAAUACAUAUAUACGAUAAUCCCCAAUUUAGCAAAAAGGGUUUUUUUAUUUACAGAUAUACGACAAUGAUUCCCUGAAAGGUCAAGCAAACAAAAUUCUUUGUGGUCACGGAAACAUUACAUUCUCUUCAAGUGGACCCUCUGUUGUGAUUCAGUUUAUAUCAGACGAGUCCGUGAAUGGAACUGGCUUCAACGUUUCCUGGAAAGUUGGAAAAGACUCUACAACAACCCUCUCGACAACCACCGUCUUCGACACACCAACUUCGCAUACGAGCUUGAAAGUUUGGUUGAUCCUUGUUGUUUUCUCGGGAACUGUUGUUUUUGUGGUAUUGAUGGCCAUUCUAAUUUGCUACUGGAGGCGGCGCAUACGGCAACGAAAUAUUGAACAAAGCAUAAAUGCUACAGCUGAUACAGAACACCACAAUUAUGAAAUGCUCACUACAGGCAGCCCGAUUUCAAGCUAUUACAAUACUCUUGAUAUAUGACAAUGUUGACCAAACUGAGGUAUCUUGGAGACAAUGAUUUAACACAUAGUUUCGUUAUGCAGUAAGUCCGAAGUACAACGCAGAAAUUAUGUUUCGGAAAUUACGAUGAUCAAUAAGUCUAUAAUAGCAUUUAUUUAUUGCUAUCCAUUUGAAAUACUUUUGCUUUGUUGCAUCAAUUACUUUGACCAGAGAAUGAAAUAAGUUGCCCGAAUGUUAGCAUACGUGAUAAACUUGCCAAUAUGGGCGAUGCAGUAAACAUAUGGUACACAGAACAAAUAAUCUCUGAAACGUUAUUUUUUAUUAAUUAUGUGUAUUAUGUGUAUUAUGUGUAUAUUAAUGACUAACAUAUAAAUCAAAUAAAUCAUAACAUUUUUCUCUCACUAAUUUCAAAUAAUCAUCGAUCAAAGGCAUACACCAAUCUGGUAAACAUAGUCAAGGUAAUAACAUUCCAUUUAUUUAAUGUGGACAAUUUAAUUUCAUCUCUUCUUUCCAUUUUGUAAUUGUCAUUCUUCCUGUCAAUGUAACAUCAUGUAAGUGGUGUGUGUGUGCGUAUGAUGUAAAUUUUCAAAGAAGUUUUAUAUUUAACUUCCAAUUUAAUGAGUCGAUAUCUUCACCUUCACCCUUUCCCACUAGCAUUCUAUAUAUUUUAAUCAUUGUUUUCCCGACAGUAUAUAUGUAUGUAGUAUGUAUGUAGGGAGAUUGAUUUUUCAAAGAGGUUUCAUACAUUUAAGUUCUAAUUCAAUAUGUCGAUAUCUUCUCCUUCAUCUUCUCGAACUAACUUUCUAUAUGUUUUAAUCAUUGUUUUUCCAAGUAUGGACUAUUAACAUUGCAUUCAAUAUAAGUACAUUUUAUUAUUGAACGUAUAACUUUUGCUGUACUAUGUAUAUUGUCUGGUUCAUCAAAGAAAUGGAUCCCUUGGGAAAUUCUUGUUAAGGCCUUACUACAAAUAGCUUCCAAACCAGGUACCAGUGGACCAGGUUGUGAUUUAUACGAGGGAGGGUGAUAUGGAAUGUUGUGGACUCUGUCCACCAACGCCUCUUUCAACACCGCGGCGCACCCCACCACUAGUGGAGUGGUACCUUCAUUUAUUUACCCCACGCUGUCCUGUCCGCCCUUUUGUACAUCAUUUUGAGCAUGGCGUAAGAUUUAGUGUUUUAAAUAUACAUGUAUGUGAUUUGUGACAUUUUUUAGCUUUAAUAUGCAAAUUCUCUUAAUAUUUGAUGUUUUGAUUGAACUGUAAUGACUUUUUAUUUAUCAGUUUUUGAUGGGUUUUUGCUAUUUUGACUGCGCAUUUAUUACGUUUACCUUUGUUAAAACCUAGGAGAUCUCGAUUAAAAAGAUUAUAUGUUUCAUCCACAUGUUUGUUUAUAACUGCAAGUUAGUUUUUUAAUAAGCACAUAAAGUUUGUGUUUAAUCAUUUUUUCCACGGAGUAAUUAGUCAGUGUACUGUAAAUCCUUGUUAUCACAAAUUAUCUUCCACGCUUCCGCUGAACUAUUUUUUUUGUAUUGUAUUUUCGCAACCUACUUUAACUUCUUUCAUUUUCGAUACAUUUCUGUAAAGUCUAUGUAAUUUAUUUAUGUGUAAAUCAAAAUUAUAGUAUAAAUCUAGCGAAUAUUUGAUUGUGUUUUAAAACACCUGUUUGUGUGUGUGUUUUCAUUGUGUUGAUACCUGAAUAUUUCAUCUGUCAGUGUUUGUUUAAAUGCAUAUCUAUUGAAAUGUCUUUACAAUUGCGCAACAAACAUAAUAUACACUUUUCUUUGCUCUGUCAUUUAUAUGUUGCUAGAUAUUUAGGUAUUUUGGAUAUGCAACAGAUCUAUUGUUUAAUUCAUUUACUGACUUGAGUGUUUAAUUUGUAAGUCCAUGUUGCUUGUUUUUAGUGUAAAGAUUAUAGACCAUGGGUCAUGAGGAUUUUCGUCUUUUUUCAAUUGACGACAAUUCUUUAUUUGCUCAUCUAUUAGUACUGCAUAAAGCAGUAUAUUUUUAGAAUUUAUAACAUAUUGCAAGGUAAAUUUCUUCUAUUUUUUGCGGAUUUUACACGGUCCUCCAAUAUUUGUCUUGGUACCUUAGCACUCUAUGCAUUACCAUUACCAUUAUGCACAAAUUACCAUUUGUCAUUUCGGAGACAUUUGUGCAAAAAGGGGGGAGUGUUAAGAGAGUUUAACCUCAUCCCAAUUGUCCAAUGUGUAAUUGUCACCCCACCCCCCUGCAAUAUGUAUGUAUGGUCUGAUGUCUCGAAGAGUUUUAAAUACUUAACUUAAACUUUUAUUGGUCGAUAUUUUGACAUUCACUGUUCCAAACUAACUUUGUAUAUUUGCUUAUCAUUGCUUUCCUGACAGUUCAACUGGGACCAGUUUAUUUGUAUAACAUUCAAUAUAAGUGCAUUUUGAUCUGCCGCGAACAACUUGGACAUAUUUUACAUUUACUGUACUCGUUGGACUGUAUUACGGUCUGGUUCAUUUUACUUGAAUAACGCAAUAGAAUCAUAAGAGGAGUGUUAUUAAACCCUUUCUAAACUCAGUUGUUCUAUGUGCUUUGCUUGUUGUCAAAAAGUGAUUACAAAAGAAUUGGCUUAAAGUUAUUUCAAUUUUUCCUUGUGCCUUCAAAUAAUCACAUUGCUAAUUUGUUUUGUUUUGUUUUCUGAUGGGCUCGUCCAGAAGAUUCAAUGAUAUGAAAGUUGCAUUCUCAAAAAGUAAAUGAAACUAAAACAAUACUAAACUAUCAGUGGAAAUAAAGCUGUGAGAAGGCGUUUAAAUACGUCUUGCUUUCAAACAUCAUUGCAAGUUACUUUCGAAUUAUUUCCAACUUUUGAGUAUGCAGUGUAACUUUAAUAGUAAGAUAUCAUAUGCAUUUCUGUAGGUGUCUAAUUUGUUUAUAUAGGUAUUAAUCGCAUUUGCCUGUUCAUGCAUAAUGUUUGUAUAUUCUCACGUCUACAAGUUAUUUAAAUAAAUGCAGAUAUACACUUUU